GAGGUUAUAGCUCAGUGGUGGAGUGCAUGCCUAGCACGCAUGAGGUCCUGGGUUCUAUCCCCUUCUACCUCC
rnacentral:tRNA from 1 species